CAGGGAGACAACAAAAUGUUUAAUAUUAUUAUUUUGUCACCUUAGGUCGAUCGGUACCUCUCAUCCUUAAUUUAUUAAGGAUUUCAUUUCCUAAGUUUCUCUAGGUCACACCCAUUAUUUUUCCUGGGCCAUUAGCUCAGGUGGUUAGAGCGCACCCCUGAUAAGGGUGAGGCCCCUGGUUCAAGUCCAGGAUGGCCCAUAUCUCUAUAUUGGGGGUAUAGCUCAGUUGGUAGAGCGCCUGCUUUGCAAGCAGGAUGUCAGCGGUUCGAGUCCGCUUACCUCCACUGAUUACCACCUUUUCCCUUAAUUUAUAGAAAGGAAAUUUUUUGAGUUGUGAUCAAAUUCUGAACGAAUCUAGCUUCCUAAUUCAAUAGUUAAGAUGCUGGAUUCAGUGAAUUAAUUUCAUUGUUUUCAGAGAACCUUGACAACUGCAUAGAUUAUUUUUAAAGACAAUAAGCAUCUUUAAUGAUGCAGAUUUAUUAUUUGUGCAAAUGCAUUAAUAACAAUUCUAUUAAGCUGAUGCUUCAAAUUUUGAAGUUAUU
rnacentral:tRNA from 1 species